rnacentral:rRNA from 15 species
UGCUGGAGGUAUCAGAAGUGCGAAUGCUGACAUGAGUAACGAUAAUGGGUGUGAAAAACACCCACGCCGAAAGACCAAGGUUUCCUGCGCAACGUUAAUCGACGCAGGGUUAGUCGGUCCCUAAGGCGAGGCUGAAAAGCGUAGUCGAUGGAAAACAGGUUAAUAUUCCUGUACUUCUGGUUAUUGCGAUGGAGGGACGGAGAAGGCUAGGCCAGCUUGGCGUUGGUUGUCCAAGUUUAAGGUGGUAGGCUGGAAUCUUAGGUAAAUCCGGGAUUCUAAGGCCGAGAGCUGAUGACGAGUUAUCUUUUAGAUGACGAAGUGGUUGAUGCCAUGCUUCCAAGAAAAGCUUCUAAGCUUCAGGUAACCAGGAACCGUACCCCAAACCGACACAGGUGGUUGGGUAGAGAAUACCAAGGCGCUUGAGAGAACUCGGGUGAAGGAACUAGGCAAAAUGGCACCGUAACUUCGGGAGAAGGUGCGCCGGUGAGGGUGAAGGACUUGCUCCGUAAGCUCAUGCCGGUCGAAGAUACCAGGCCGCUGCGACUGUUUAUUAAAAACACAGCACUCUGCAAACACGAAAGUGGACGUAUAGGGUGUGACGCCUGCCCGGUGCUGGAAGAUUAAAUGAUGGGGUGCAAGCUCUUGAUUGAAGUCCCAGUAAACGGCGGCCGUAACAAUAACGGUCCUAAGGUAGCGAAAUUCCUUGUCGGGUAAGUUCCGACCUGCACGAAUGGCGUAACGACUUCCCCGCUGUCUCAACCGCGAACUCGGCGAAAUUGCACUACGAGUAAAGAUGCUCGUUACGCGCAGCAGGACGGAAAGACCCCGGGACCUUCACUAUAGCUUGGUAUUGGUGUUCGGGACGGCUUGUGUAGGAUAGGUGGGAGACUGUGAAGCGGUCACGCUAGUGAUGGUGGAGUCAACGUUGAAAUACCACUCUGGUCGUUCUGGAUGUCUAACUUCGGUCCGUGAUCCGGAUCAGGGACAGUGCCUGGUGGGUAGUUUAACUGGGGCGGUUGCCUCCUAAAGAGUAACGGAGGCGCCCAAAGGUUCCCUCAGCCUGGUUGGCAAUCAGGUGUUGAGUGUAAGUGCACAAGGGAGCUUGACUGUGAGACAGACAUGUCGAGCAGGGACGAAAGUCGGGACUAGUGAUCCGGCAGUGGCUUGUGGAAGCGCUGUCGCUCAACGGAUAAAAGGUACCCCGGGGAUAACAGGCUGAUCUUGCCCAAGAGUCCAUAUCGACGGCAUGGUUUGGCACCUCGAUGUCGGCUCGUCGCAUCCUGGGGCUGGAGUAGGUCCCAAGGGUUGGGCUGUUCGCCCAUUAAAGCGGUACGCGAGCUGGGUUUAGAACGUCGUGAGACAGUUCGGUCCCUAUCCGCUGCGCGCGCAGGAAGUUUGAGAGGAUCUGACCCUAGUACGAGAGGACCGGGUUGAACGUACCUCUGGUGUACCUGUCGUCGUGCCAACGGCGCAGCAGGGUAGCUAUGUACGGACGGGAUAACCGCUGAAAGCAUCUAAGCGGGAAGCCUACCUCAAGAUAAGAUUUCCCAAGGA